rnacentral:lncRNA from 1 species
GAAGACAAGAUGAUGAGAGUUAUCGACUCAAAUGGAAGGUUGAUCUUGAAGGCUCCAGUGUCUUAGAAUAGAACCUUCAAGAUUGAGCUUAAUGUGAUGGAGCAUAAGUGCCUUGCAACAGCAGCCAGUUGAAAUGAAUGGAUAUGGCUAUAGACUUGGCCAUCUCAAUGUCAAAGACAUCAGAGAUUUGAAGAGAAGAAAU